GGAGAAAUCCGGAUUAAUACCGCAUACGCCCUUACGAGGGAAAGCAGGGGNUUUUCGGAACCUUGCACUAUUGGAUGAGCNUGCGUCGGAUUAGCUAGUUGGUGGGGUAAAGGCCUACCAAGGCCACGAUCCGUAGCUGGUCUGAGAGGAUGAUCAGCCACACUGGGACUGAGACACGGCCCAGACUCCUACGGGAGGCAGCAGUGGGGAAUAUUGCACAAUGGGCGCAAGCCUGAUGCAGCCAUGCCGCGUGUGUGAAGAAGGCUNUAGGGUUGUAAAGCANUUUCAGCGAGGAGGAAAGGUUGACGAUUAAUACUCGUCA
rnacentral:rRNA from 1 species